rnacentral:rRNA from 1 species
GAUCCUGGCUCAGAUUGAACGCUGGCGGAACGCUUUACACAUGCAAGUCGAACGGUAACGCGGAGAGAGGCUUGCUUCUCACCAGCGACGAGUGGCGAACGGGUGAGUAAUACAUCGGAACGUGUCCGCUCGUGGGGGACAACCAGCCGAAAGGUUGGCUAAUACCGCAUGAGUUCUACGGAAGAAAGAGGGGACCCGCAAGGGCCUCUCGCGAGCGGAGCGGCCGAUGACUGAUUAGCCGGUUGGUG